rnacentral:lncRNA from 1 species
CUGAAACUAGUGCAUGAAUUAUAGUGGUUCUUUUACUUGUCUGUGACAUCACUGCAACAGCUGACACUAAUGAAUUGAGUCAUCCAUCCAUCCAUCCCCUUGUUUUUCACUGAGAGCUUCCUGGCAUAUGCAGCCUCUUGCUAUUUUUUCCUCUUCACCUUCAGUUCUUGGCAAACAGCUCGACACUUAAGAAGAACACUUAACUCUAGAACAAGAGCAAUUAAAAACUAAAGCAGAUAUGAAGGUGACUUUUUCUACAAAUUUGGACACUCAAGUAAAACUAAGAGAACAAGGGAUCAAGUGAGGCAAUUUAACAAGAGAG